rfam:Gloeobacter violaceus PCC 7421 DNA, complete genome.
GGGUCGGUAGCUCAGCGGUAGAGCAUCCGGCUUUUAACCGGUGUUGCGUGGGUUCGAUCCCCACCCGACCCA